GAUGAACGCUAGCGGCAGGCCUAACACAUGCAAGUCGAGGGGGAGGUUACUUUCGGGUAACUGAGACCGGCGUACGGGUGCGUAACGCGUAUACAAUCUGCCUUUCACUGGGGGAUAGCCCGAAGAAAUUUGGAUUAAUACCCCAUAGUAUAGUAAUACGGCAUCGUGAUGCUAUUAAAGCUUAGGUGGUGAAAGAUGAGUAUGCGUUCUAUUAGCUAGUUGGAGAGGUAACGGCUCCCCAAGGCGAUGAUAGAUAGGGGUUCUGAGAGGGAUGUCCCCCACACUGGUACUGAGAUACGGACCAGACUCCUACGGGAGGCAGCAGUGAGGAAUAUUGGACAAUGGUCGGAAGACUGAUCCAGCCAUGCCGCGUGCAGGAUGAAGGUCUUAUGGAUUGUAAACUGCUUGUGUAAGGGAAGAAUAAGGGCUACGCGUAGUUUGAUGACGGUACCUUACGAAUAAGCAUCGGCUAACUCCGUG
rnacentral:rRNA from 1 species